rnacentral:rRNA from 1 species
UACAGAGGGUGCAAGCGUUGCUCGGAAUCAUUGGGCGUAAAGGGUUGGUAGGUGGUCUCAUUUGUCUGGGGUGAAAGCCUUGAGCUUAACUCAAGAAGUGCCCCGGAAACGGUGAGACUAGAGUCUUGGAGAGGGUCGUGGAAUUCCCGGUGUAGCGGUGAAAUGCGUAGAGAUCGGGAGGAACACCAGAGGCGAAGGCGGCGACCUGGACAAGUACUGACACUGAACAACGAAAGCGUGGGGAGCAAACAGG